AAUACCCGCUGAACAUUAAACAUAUAA
rnacentral:rRNA from 1 species